GAUGAAGAACGCAGCGAAAUGCGAUAAGUAGUGUGAAUUGCAGAAUUCAGUGAAUCAUCGAAUCUUUGAACGCACAUUGCGCCCUUUGGUAUUCCUUAGGGCAUGCCUGUUCGAGCGUCAUUUGAAACCUCAAGCUCAGCUUGGUGUUGGGUGUCUGUCCCCGCCUCCGCGGGGACUCGCCUCAAAAUCAUUGGCGGCCGGUACGUUGGCUUCGAGCGCAGCAGAAACGCGAACUCGAGGCCCGGCGGAUCGGCGACCAGAAGUCUCUUCUUCACAGUUUGACCUCGGAUCAGGUAGGGAUACCCGCUGAACUUAAGCAUAUCAUAAGCGGAGGA
rnacentral:misc_RNA from 1 species